rfam:Triticum aestivum genome assembly, contig: Triticum_aestivum_CS42_TGACv1_scaffold_223333_3B
CAACUACUCCCUCCGUCACAAAUUACUUGUCGGAGAAAUUGAUGUAUCUAGACGUAUUUUAAUUCUAGAUACAUCUAUUUUUAUCCAUUUCUGCGACAAGUAAUUUUGGACGGAGGGAGUAGUUU